GGUGGAGGCGGAAGUGACUGAUCAAUUCAGGGGCGUGGGGUUCGUUUAGGUCUUUUCCUAGUUUUGCCCUGUGUAUGACCUCGUUUGGAGCCAUGAAACCAGGUCUGUGAAAUUUAGUGUCUAUUUUCUACCAUAACACAUGUUAAUUUGGACUAACCACAUUUCGAGUGCUCAGUAGCCACAUGUGGCUAGCGACUACUAUCUUGAGCAAUGCAACGAUAAGUCUGCACUUACGUUCAAAAAGACUUAAAGCAGGGAUCGACAACCCCCAGGCCACAGACUGGUAUGGAUCCAUGGCCUAUUAAGAACCGUGCCACACAGCAGGAGGAAGCUCUUCCACGAGUUCACGAAUGGAAAUAACAUCAAGAGUUUUUCAUCUUCUUAGUGUGCAAGGUUAUUUUAGGGCAAUGAUGGAAAGCACCAAGUGGAGUCUGGAGCUAGACUGAUCUGUGUUCAAUCCCGUCUUGGUUACUCAUUGAGGAGCCUCGACUUUCAUGUCUCUGUAAUGUCGCUGACAGUAUCUGCCUCACAGGGUUGCUGUAAGAAUCAAGCGAGAUGUCUGAGGAAUAGUCUUAGUGGAUUAUCCCAAACUUGACACAUUUUUUGCAAAAUGCUAUACAAAAAGAAGAUACAUGCGAUUAUGACAAGAUUCUCCACUUGGUGUGACCAGUCUCAUACAACCCAAGGCUGUGUGUCCAAAGGCAACUGCACUGAUCUUGACAAUAAUCAAAAGGUAGCCAGGUGCAUCGG
rnacentral:lncRNA from 1 species